AGCGAACGUUUGCGGCGGGCCUAACACAUGCAAGUCGAACGGGCAGUCCCCUUCGGGGGCGUGUCAGUGGCGGCACGGGUGGCGUAACACGUAGGUAAUCAACCCUCGGGUUCGGGAUAACACUUCGAAAGGGGUAGGCUAAUACCGGAUGCGACGAGCGUCUCCUCGGAGAUGCACGGGAAAGAUCCGCAAGGGUCGCCCGAGGACGAGCCUGCGGCCCAUCAGCUUGUUGGUGAGGUAAUGGCUCACCAAGGCUAAGACGGGUAGGCUGGUCUGAGAGGAUGAUCAGUCACACUGGAACUGAGACACGGUCCAGACUCCUACGGGAGGCAGCAGUGGGGAAGUAUUGCGCAAUGGGCGAAAGCCUGACGCAGCCACGCCGCGUGAGCGAUGAAGGCC
rnacentral:rRNA from 1 species